ensembl:lncRNA
UCUCUCUCUCUCUCUCUCUCUCUCUCUCUCUCUCUCUCUCUCUCUCUCUCUCUCUCUCUCUCUCUCUCUCUCUCUCUCUCUCUCUCUCUCUCUCUCUCUCUCUCUCUCUCUCUCUCUCUCUCUCUCUCUCUCUCUCUCUCUCCUAACUUGAUUUGCUUUCCUUUUUCUUUAUAAAACCUAAACUCUUUUACAGUGACAGCAGAAACGGUAAUAGAACCAUCUAGUGACCAUAGAAGGGUUACAACAACAGUCAAACCAUAACAUUGACGGUGGAACAGUAAGAGUAACAGUAGAUAUUAUAUACAGUUACAAAAGAAGUGUUAGUAGAACAGCUACAGUACAACAGUAUAAGCAGAAUAACAGUAACAGUAGAAGCCUUACAGGAACAGUACAAGCCUUACAGUAACAGUAGAGGCCCGUGAGGGAGAGUUCUAUUUCUGACUCAGGACAAACAAACAGUCUGAUUGUCCUGCUGCCCGGUUUGUGAUACGAAACCAACGCACACGGGAAACCUGACCUGUGUGUGUGUGCGUGUCUGUGUCUGUGUGUGUGUGUGUGUGUGUGUGUGUGUGUGUGUGUGUGUGUGUGUGGCUGUGUGUGUGUGUUUGUGCAUAUAUGUCUUUGCGAGUGUUCACGUCUGUGUACUUGUGUGCAUGGAUAUGUGCGACUGUGUGUGUGUGUGUGUGUGUGUGUGUUUGUGUGUGUGUGUGUGUGUGUCUUUAAACUGAUCCAUCCCAGCUCCCUUGUCUUGGCCCUCUCCCGUCCAUGAAGGCUUAUCACAUGUGUAUUAAGGAGAGCCUUUAUGCACUGGAGUGUCGACCUGUAUGAAAGCUGGGCAGACUGGGCUCUACAGGUGAUCACCUGCUGCUAGUCAUGUGAUCACCUGUUGUCUGUUGUCAUCUUGAUCGAUUUGUCUCUCUAUUUACUCAGGUCUCUCUGUGUCUCUGUCUUUCUCUCUGUCUCUCUCUCUCUCUCUCUCUCUCUCUCUCUCUCUCUCUCUCUCUCUCUCUCAUUCUCUCUGUCUGUCUCUCUCCAUCUCUAUUUCUCUCUCUUUGUCUGCAGGGUCGUUUCUAAUUUUAGGCUGAUUCCAUUGAUAGAAAUACAUGUAAUGUUUACACUAUUAUGGGUGCGCUUAUCUGUGUGUGUGUGUGUGUGUGUGUGUGUGUGUGUGUGUGUGUGUGUGUGUGUGUGUGUGUGUGUGUGUGUGUGUGUGUGUGUGUGUGUGUGUGUGUGUGUGUGUGUGUGCACGUGUGUGUGUGUGUGUGUCUGUAUACCUCUGCUGCCAACAUUCCUGGGUCUAUUAAUCAUCACAUUGAUAUCUGUGUUUCUUCAGUGUUUGUGAAUACGUGCGUGUGUUGUGCGUGCAUGCGUGUGUGUGUGUGUGUGUGUGUGUGUGUGUGUGUGUGUGUGUGUGUGUGUGUGUGUGUGUGUGUGUGUGUGUGUGUUUUAUGUCUGUAUCUGUGUCUUGUGUGUGUUGUGAUAGGAAUGUUAAGGUCCUCUCUGCUUCUGUGUGGUUCCAGACGAGGUGUGACUGUGCAUAUUCAUGAGGACCCUUCAUCCCCUCUCAUCCUUCCCCUUGUUGAGAGAGAGAGAGAGAGAGAGAGAGAGAGAGAGAGAGAGAGAGAGAGAGAGAGAGAGAGAGAGAGAGAGAGAGAGAGAGAGAGAGAGAGAGAGAGAGAGAGAGAGAGACCUUGUGAUAUAUGGGAUGUGCAACAUACCACAAAUACACUGUUGUAAAACUUUUGGUAAGCCGUGUUGUAAACUUUGUUGUUGUCGGCUAAGUUGUCGGCUAGGUGUGUUGUCAUGUUUUAAACUUUAAGGUGUUGGCUGGGCAUGUUGUUAUAAACUUUAAGGUGUUAGCUAGGCGUUUCGUAAACUUUAAGGUGUUGGCUGGGCAUGUUGUUAUAAACUUUAAGGUGUUAGCUAGGCGUUUCGUAAACUUUAAGGUGUUGGCUGGGCAUGUUGCUAUAAACUUUAAGGUGUUGGCUAGGCGUGUUGUAAACUUUCAGGUGUUUGCUAGGCGUGUUGUAAACUUUAGGGUUUUGUCUAGGCGUGUUGUAAACUUAAGGUGCUGGCUAGGCAUGUUGUAAACUUUAAGGUGUUGUCUAGGCGUGUUGUAAGCUUUAAGGUUUUGUCUAGGCGUGUUGUAAACUUUAAGGUGCUGCUUCGGCAGGCGGAGGCCAUCUUGGUUUGUACCUCCGCUGGAUCCUGUGCUUGUGAAACUCUCGUCGUGUUUUCCGCUGGUCUGUGUCUUGUGUGGGCGGGGUCGACCCACCCUUGAGUCACGCCGCAGGAUUUCCUCUUUUGAUCGUUUCAUGCGUUCAUGUCGGAAACCGCUGGUUACUCAGACCGAGAGACGAACGUAUAACAAAUGUAUAGAAGUAGACUCAUCCUAGUCCGCACACUCAUAGCACAACAUGUUAAUGCACACAUGAAGGCUGCACAAUCACACACACCAAAUAACAUGCACACGCACGUGCACACUAUAACCAAGAGUUAAUGUGUGUAGGUGUGUGCUUUGCGUCAAGGGGCAGCAAAGCAGGUGUAAGCUGUGGAAUUUGUUGAUAGAGAGGCACUCCGUGUGUGUGUCUGUGUGUGUGUGUGUGUGUGUGUGUGUGUGUGUGUGUGUGUGUGUGUGUGUGUGUGUGUGUGUGUGUGUGUGUGUGUGAACAUAUCUGUCAUUCAGUGUUUCCGUAAGUCUGCUACAAUGCUGAAAGACGGAAAAUGUGUUGGAUGUUGGUUGAAGUAUGAAGUGUGAGCUUGUGUGUGUGUUUGCGUGCAUAUGUAUUUCUGUGUGUGGUUGUGUGUGUGUGGUUGUGUGUCUGCAUCCACUCAAUUGUUGAGGAAAAGGGAAACUACAGAAACGUCAACACAUCACAUCGGCACACCGCAGGGUUUUAAUGAGUGGUAUAUUUGGACUAUUUUUACAAUCGUUGAUUUGUUUUCUCAUCCAUGUCAUUAUCACUAUGUGGCCAAUUAAAAUGGAGGAACACAAACGUGGGCGGGGCUUAUGUAUUUCUAGUGCGUAUAAAAAUGACGAGGUCUCGCCGAGGUCUUGUGCUUGCAUCUUGUGCUCGAUUCAACGGCUCAAAUAAACAAAUAUUCACUUAUCUUUAUUUGCUGCAACACAUUUUGAACGAUUAUGCUAACAUGUGGAACAUGUUAGCCACAAGCUAGUUGAUCUCGUGAGGCCUAAAAAAAAAAAGGUUUGGUUCCUGUUGGUUGUCAGUUGAGGUCAUGGGUAGGUAGGGAAUUUAUUUUAUUUUUUUAUUUUAUUUUUUCCAGCGGCAGCGAAUGAUAAGUAGGUUUUUUUCAUUUAUAAACGAGAGAAUGCGCUCAUCCUUGUACAGAAUGAAGAGGUGCUGUGCAAAAACGUAAUUAUAGUUUGCAUCAAAAAAAAAAAACUUUUUUUUUUUUUUUUUUUAAAGCUCAUAAAAUAAUAUGAGUCGCACACAAAUGGACAGGGUCGGUCGGAAACCGGAACCAAACAAAAUUUUUUUUUAGGCCUGGGCAUAAAGCGGUUGUUAGCUUGCAACAAAUCAAAUAAACAUUUUAGAUAUUCAAACCAAAUGGAGGUGAUUGUCUCAGGUUCUCAGAGCGUAAGGGACGGGGGGGGCCAGAACAUCUCCCGAGGGGGGGGUCGAGUCCGGUCCUGUGUUGACACCCCAGCGGGUCCCAGAAGUGGAGGAAUGACAGAUGGCCGUACAGUGAGUCGCCCUGUAUCACACGGUUAGCCCAAGUCUCACAGUCUGGGCUUCAUGAUUUAAUGAACGCUCGCUAGACAUCUCGGGAACUCAAUUCGAUUCGACCUAAAUUUAAACCUUCAAGUAUCUUGUACCGUAGGAACACAACUACAUAACAUUAGGAUUUAGAACAAAAGAAAAAUAACCAGCCUUAAAGGACGGCUGGUUAGUACCGGUUCCAGACUUCCAUGGAGUCGGUUGUAAUUCUGCCUAAACGGGGCGCAUUCCAAUCGACACUGAAAGAACAGAGGUUGACGACUAUUCUGUUUUGGCACGUUGUCUGUCAGGUAGAGUUCCCUGAGUUAUUCGCGCACAGGCACAAGCACAGGCACACACACACACACACACCUCUGGAACACCUGGUCCGCUGGCUGGGAGCAGUGUGGGUUCAGACCCCCUGCUGGAACCAGAAUCACUCUCAGCUCUGCAUACCAGCUCCAUAAAUCUGCUCUGAAACCGCUCGUUUGGAAACUAUGCACACACACACACACACGCACGCACACACAUACACACACACACACACACACACACACACACACACACACACACACACACACACACACACACACACACACACACACACACACACACACACACACACUCCCUCUCACAAAAACACACACACACGCGGUCACAUGUUGUCUCUCUCACUAACAGAGACACACACUCACAUAAAUAAGUGGUAGUUAAACCCUGAUGACAAGUUAUACACAAACACACACACACACGCGCAAACACACAACGUCCACACACACUCUCAAGCAUGCACUAACAGACAACAUCAUAAAUACUUCACAGACACUAGUAUGCAAGCAACUCUAAACACACACACACACACACACACACACACACACACACACACACACACACACACACACACACACACACACACACACACAUGGACUGUGGGGCCAGCUGCUUCGGAAGUGAAGGUUCUUUGAAUAGGAGUGACAGCUGUGGAUUCCUCAGAGAGAGAGGAGGCAGGCCGAGAGACAUAGAGACCCAUAGAUACAGAGAGAGAGAGAGAGAGAGAGAGAGAGAGAGAGAGAGAGAAAUUUAAAUUUAGAAGAGGAAGAGAGAGGUGCAGAGAAUAACGAAGGGAGAGAGGAGAGCAGAAAGGAAGAGAAGAAGGGAGUGUAAUGGCUAAGAGAGAAAAAGAGAGAGAUGUUGAAAGAAGAUUGGAGUAUGAGAGUUUUAGAGGGAGAGAAAGCCCUGUGUGUGCAUGUGUAUGUGUGAGUGUGUGUGUGUCUGUGUGUGUGUGUGUGUCUGUGGUGUGUGCAGCAUGUGAUUGUCUUAGUAACUCGGUCUAUAUUUACAGAUCCUGCGUUGCACAAGACUUCUUCAGAAAACCUCCGUUCUCAUCUCUCGGCGUGAAUCCCCUCUCAAACUUGAGCGCUGUCGCGACUCUUACUCAUCGUUUUUUACCCAAAAGAGAUUAUUUUCGAUGAUGAGAUAUUAUUUUGAAAACUAAAUACUGUUUUUAGUCCUUUCCUGAGUGUGAGUACAAAGAGUUUCUGAAUAAAGUUUUCAUUUUUUGUUUUCUUCGUUGCUGGUCAGGAUAUGCGGGGUCAUUUCAGACGAUGACUUGAGGCUUGGGUUUCUUAAUGACAUGUCAUCAUCUCAACCAAUCAGACAAUCAAAAUACACCUUAGUGGCACGACUCAACCAAUCAACCAAUCAGAAUACACAUGUCGUGACGGUUGCCGUGGUGGUUUUAUUUUUUUUUCAUGUAAUUUUAUUAAAACAACAAGCACCAAGGUCGCGUGGGGGAGGGAAUUCGACUGAUCUCCUCCUCCUUGUCCGCUAACCCACUGCGACUCAGAGGCUUAGGAGACUCCUAAAACAACAGAGGUUAAUUAAAACCAGCUGCCGUUCCCACACACACCGCACAGGCCUGGGGGAGGGAGGGAGAGAGGGAGGGAUGGAGAGAGAGAGAGGGAUGGAGAGAGAGAGAGGGAGAUAUGGGGAGACAGAGAGAGAG